GACGAACGCUGGCGGCAUGCCUAACACAUGCAAGUCGAACGGGGGUAGCAAUACCCUAGUGGCGAACGGGUGAGUAACACGUGAGCAACCUGCCUUAUACAACGGGAUACCUGCGAGAAAUCGUAGUUAAUACGGUAUAAGACCACACUCCGGCAUCGGAGAGGGGUAAAAGAUUUAUCGGUAUAAGAUGGGCUCGCGGCGCAUUAGCUAGUUGGUACGGUAACGGCGUACCAAGGCGACGAUGCGUAGCCGACCUGAGAGGGUGAUCGGCCACACUGGGACUGAGAUACGGCCCAGACUCCUACGGGAGGCAGCAGUGGGGAAUAUUGGGCAAUGGGCGCAAGCCUUACCCAGCAAUGCCGCGUGAAUGAAGAAGGUCUUCGGAUUGUAAAGUUCUUUAGUCAGGGACGAAAAAAAUGACGGUACCUGAAGAAUAAGCCCCGGCUAACUACGUGCCAGCAGCCGCGGUAAUACGUAGGGGGCAAGCGUUGUCCGGAAUGACUGGGCGUAAAGGGUGUGUAGGCGGUUUGGCAAGUUGGGAGUGAAAUACCUAGGGCUCAACUCAGGUGCUGCUUCUAAAACUGUUAGACUUGAGUGCAGGAGAGGUAAAUGGAAUUCCUAGUGUAGCGGUGGAAUGCGUAGAUAUUAGGAGGAACACCAGAGGCGAAGGCGAUUUACUGGACUGUAACUGACGCUGAGACACGAAAGUGUGGGGAGCAAACAGG
rnacentral:rRNA from 1 species